GAUGAACGCUCGCGGCGUGCCUAAUACAUGCAAGUCGAGCGAACAGACGAGGAGCUUGCUCCUCUGACGUUAGCGGCGGACGGGUGAGUAACACGUGGAUAACCUACCUAUAAGACUGGGAUAACUUCGGGAAACCGGAGCUAAUACCGGAUAAUAUAUUGAACCGCAUGGUUCAAUAGUGAAAGACGGUUUUGCUGUCACUUAUAGAUGGAUCCGCGCCGCAUUAGCUAGUUGGUAAGGUAACGGCUUACCAAGGCAACGAUGCGUAGCCGACCUGAGAGGGUGAUCGGCCACACUGGAACUGAGACACGGUCCAGACUCCUACGGGAGGCAGCAGUAGGGCAUCUUCCGCAAUGGGCGAAAGCCUGCCGGAGCAACGCCGCGUGAGUGAUGAAGGUCUUCGGAUCGUACAAAUCUGUUAUUAGGGAAGAACAAAUGUGUAAGUAACUAUGCACGUCUUGACGGUACCUACUCAGAAAGCCACGGCUACCUACGUG
rnacentral:rRNA from 1 species